GAGAUUUAAUUAUUAAAAUUACAACAAAGUUAUUCUCUCAAACACAUUGUGUGUUGUGUGAGUGUGAAUCUUGAGCUUCACAUUGCGUUAGCUGGUAUUAGAGUGGAGAACCUGCCCCAAUAGAAAUGACUUAUCUUGAUGGAGGUGACGAUUACAUUUGUUCUCGCAAUGAUGAUCAGGGAGCUAGAGCUCUUUACAAUAAGGACAAAACAUAGCAAUGAUAGAAACGACGUCUAAAGCAACAAAUGGUUCUCAGAAUCAAGCAUAUCGAGACGCAUCGAAGAAAUUGCAAAUCGCCUUGAUGCUUUGGGAACUAAAACAAACAAGGAUCGGUAGAAGGCCAAGGGUAAAUGUAGCCUGUAGUGUUCCUAUCAACAGACCUUUUUCUAUAUGUAGGCAAUAUCUAUGAGAAGACUCGGAAGAGGAAAAUAACUAUGAGCCAAACAGGUUCUAUAGACAUCCGUGUAAUGAAAGAUAUAGAAGAAGAGGUGCGUAUCGAUCAAUUCUUAUGCAAUGACAAAAUGUCUAUAACGAAGAUUCAGAGGAGGACAAUGACUAUGAACCAAUCAGAUUCAAUAGGCAUCAACGAAAUGACAACUACAGGCAAAGAGGCAUGUAUUGGAAGGUUGAGCAGGUUUUUCAACCAAAAAUGAAGUUCCAUUUGAAUUUGCAGCCGAAUGCAAGGACACCCAACCUAUGCAUCUAUUAGUGGAAAUGGAAGAAAGUGAAGAGUAACUUGAAUCCAAAACUCAAUUUCAAGUCGGGGAGACUAAUGUCAAAAGAUCAAAACUAGAAGCUUUGAUCAUAUUUCCUUUUGCAAUGGUUAGAAAUGAAGAGCUUAAGGAAUGUGUCCUAGAAAACAAAGAAUAUCAUGCCAUUGAGAUUUCGAUGGAAGUUUAAGGAAAACAAUCCAUAGAGACAAUAUUGGACAUUGGAGAAAAACAAGUCAAGGAAAUGAUGAAAGAAUGAAGAUCUCUAACUCUUUACCUUCUAUUGUUUCCUUUGAUUUUAU
rnacentral:misc_RNA from 1 species